AUUGAACGCUGGCGGCAGGCCUAACACAUGCAAGUCGAACGAGCGGCGGACGGGUGAGUAAUGUAUGGGGACUGCCCGAUAGAGGGGGAUAACUACUGGAAACGGUAGCUAAUACCGCAUACUAUCGGAUAACCCAUAUGGGAUUAGCUAGUAGGUGGGGUAAUGGCUCACCUAGGCGACGAUCCCUAGCUGGUCUGAGAGGAUGAUCAGCCACACUGGAACUGAGACACGGUCCAGACUCCUACGGAGGCAGCAGUGGGGAAUAUUGCACAAUGGGCGCAAGCCUGAUGCAGCCAUGCCGCGUGUAUGAAGAAGGCCUUCGGGUUGUAAAGUACUUUCAGCGGGGAGGCGUUACCGACAGAAGAAGCACCGGCUAACUCCGUGCCAGCAGCCGCGGUAAUUC
rnacentral:rRNA from 1 species